CCUACGGGAGGCAGCAGUGGGGAAUAUUGCACAAUGGGCGAAAGCCUGAUGCAGCGACGCCGCGUGAGGGAUGACGGCCUUCGGGUUGUAAACCUCUUUCAGCAGGGAAGAAGCCACAAGUGACGGUACCUGCAGAAGAAGCGCCGGCUAACUACGUGCCAGCAGCCGCGGUAAUACGUAGGGCGCAAGCGUUGUCCGGAAUUAUUGGGCGUAAAGAGCUCGUAGGCGGUUUGUCGCGUCUGCUGUGAAAGCCCGGGGCUUAACCCCGGGUGUGCAGUGGGUACGGGCAGACUAGAGUGCAGUAGGGGAGACUGGAAUUCCUGGUGUAGCGGUGGAAUGCGCAGAUAUCAGGAGGAACACCGAUGGCGAAGGCAGGUCUCUGGGCUGUUACUGACGCUGAGGAGCGAAAGCAUGGGGAGCGAACAGGAUUAGAUACCCUGGUAGUCCAUGCCGUAAACGUUGGGCACUAGGUGUGGGGGACAUUCCACGUUUUCCCGCGCCGUAGCUAACGCAUUAAGUGCCCCGCCUGGGGAGUACGGCCGCAAGGCUAAAACUCAAAGGAAUUGACGGGGGCCCGCACAAGCGGCGGAGCAUGCGGAUUAAUUCGAUGCAACGCGAAGAACCUUACCAAGGCUUGACAUAUACCGGAUCGUUCCAGAGAUGGUUCUUCCCCUUUGGGGUCGGUAUACAGGUGGUGCAU
rnacentral:rRNA from 1 species